rnacentral:rRNA from 1 species
CCUACGGGAGGCUGCAGUGGGGAAUAUUGGGCCAUGGAGGCAACUCUGACCCAGCAACGCCGCGUGAAUGAUGAAGGUCUUCGGAUUGUAAAGUUCUGUGAUGGGGGAUGAACACAAUGACGGUACCCCAAUAGCAAGCCACGGCUAACAACGUGCCAGCAGCCGCGGUAAUACGUAGGUGGCAAGCGUUAUCCGGAAUGACUUGGCGUAAAGGGUGCGUAGGUGGUUUAGUAAGUUGGCGGUGUAAGUCCGGGGCUCAACCUCGGCGCUACCGCCAAAACUAUUAGACUAGAGUGCAGGGGGGGUAAGUGGAAUUCCUGGUGGAGCGGUGGAAUGCGUAGAUAUAAGGAGGAACAUCAGGGGCGAAGGCGACUUACGGGACUGUAACUGACACUGAGGCACGAAAGCGUGGGGAGCAAACAGGAUUAGAUACCCUAGUAGUC